rnacentral:rRNA from 1 species
UACGAAGGGGGCUAGCGUUGCUCGGAAUCACUGGGCGUAAAGGGUGCGUAGGCGGGGCUUUAAGUCAGAGGUGAAAUCCUGGAGCUCAACUCCAGAACUGCCUUUGAUACUGAGGAUCUUGAGUAUGGGAGAGGUGAGUGGAACUGCGAGUGUAGAGGUGAAAUUCGUAGAUAUUCGCAAGAACACCAGUGGCGAAGGCGGCUCACUGGCCCGGUACUGACGCUGAGGUGCGAAAGCGUGGGGAGCAAACAGG